UACAGAGGGUGCAAGCGUUAAUCGGAAUUACUGGGCGUAAAGCGUGCGUAGACGGUUAUGUAAGUCGGGUGUGAAAGCCCCGGGCUCAACCUGGGAAUUGCAUUCGAGACUGUGUAGCUAGGGUACGGAAGAGGGAAGCGGAAUUCAGGUGUAGCGGUGAAAUGCGUAGAUAUCUGGAGGAACACCGGUGGCGAAGGCGGCAUCCUGGACCGGUAUUGACGCUGAGGCGCGAAAGCUAGGGGAGCAAACGGG
rnacentral:rRNA from 1 species